GGUUAAGCGACUAAGCGUACACGGUGGAUGCCCUGGCAGUCAGAGGCGAUGAAGGACGUGCUAAUCUGCGAUAAGCGUCGGUAAGGUGAUAUGAACCGUUAUAACCGGCGAUUUCCGAAUGGGGAAACCCAGUGUGAUUCGUCACACUAUCAUUAACUGAAUCCAUAGGUUAAUGAGGCGAACCGGGGGAACUGAAACAUCUAAGUACCCCGAGGAAAAGAAAUCAACCGAGAUUCCCCCAGUAGCGGCGAGCGAACGGGGAGCAGCCCAGAGCCUGAAUCAGUGUGUGUGUUAGUGGAAGCGUCUGGAAAGGCGUGCGAUACAGGGUGACAGCCCCGUACACAAAAAUGCACAUACUGUGAGCUCGAUGAGUAGGGCGGGACACGUGGUAUCCUGUCUGAAUAUGGGGGGACCAUCCUCCAAGGCUAAAUACUCCUGACUGACCGAUAGUGAACCAGUACCGUGAGGGAAAGGCGAAAAGAACCCCGGCGAGGGGAGUGAAAAAGAACCUGAAACCGUGUACGUACAAGCAGUGGGAGCACGCUUAGGCGUGUGACUGCGUACCUUUUGUAUAAUGGGUCAGCGACUUAUAUUCUGUAGCAAGGUUAACCGAAUAGGGGAGCCGAAGGGAAACCGAGUCUUAACUGGGCGUUAAGUUGCAGGGUAUAGACCCGAAACCCGGUGAUCUAGCCAUGGGCAGGUUGAAGGUUGGGUAACACUAACUGGAGGACCGAACCGACUAAUGUUGAAAAAUUAGCGGAUGACUUGUGGCUGGGGGUGAAAGGCCAAUCAAACCGGGAGAUAGCUGGUUCUCCCCGAAAGCUAUUUAGGUAGCGCCUCGUGAAUUCAUCUCCGGGGGUAGAGCACUGUUUCGGCAAGGGGGUCAUCCCGACUUACCAACCCGAUGCAAACUGCGAAUACCGGAGAAUGUUAUCACGGGAGACACACGGCGGGUGCUAACGUCCGUCGUGAAGAGGGAAACAACCCAGACCGCCAGCUAAGGUCCCAAAGUCAUGGUUAAGUGGGAAACGAUGUGGGAAGGCCCAGACAGCCAGGAUGUUGGCUUAGAAGCAGCCAUCAUUUAAAGAAAGCGUAAUAGCUCACUGGUCGAGUCGGCCUGCGCGGAAGAUGUAACGGGGCUAAACCAUGCACCGAAGCUGCGGCAGCGACGCUUAUGCGUUGUUGGGUAGGGGAGCGUUCUGUAAGCCUGUGAAGGUGUGCUGUGAGGUAUGCUGGAGGUAUCAGAAGUGCGAAUGCUGACAUAAGUAACGAUAAAGCGGGUGAAAAGCCCGCUCGCCGGAAGACCAAGGGUUCCUGUCCAACGUUAAUCGGGGCAGGGUGAGUCGACCCCUAAGGCGAGGCCGAAAGGCGUAGUCGAUGGGAAACAGGUUAAUAUUCCUGUACUUGGUGUUACUGCGAAGGGGGGACGGAGAAGGCUAUGUUGGCCGGGCGACGGUUGUCCCGGUUUAAGCGUGUAGGCUGGUUUUCCAGGCAAAUCCGGAAAAUCAAGGCCGAGGCGUGAUGACGAGGCACUACGGUGCUGAAGCAACAAAUGCCCUGCUUCCAGGAAAAGCCUCUAAGCAUCAGGUA
rnacentral:rRNA from 1 species